CACAGAGGUGGCAAGCGUUGUUCGGAAUUACUGGGCGUAAAGGGCGCGUAGGCGGCCUCGCAAGUCCCGUGUGAAAUCCCUCGGCUCAACUGAGGAAUGGCACGGGAAACUGCGGGGCUUGAGUUCGGGAGAGGGAAGCGGAAUUCCGGGUGUAGCGGUGAAAUGCGUAGAUAUCCGGAGGAACACCGGUGGCGAAGGCGGCUUCCUGGACCGAUACUGACGCUGAGGCGCGAAAGCUAGGGGAGCAAACGGG
rnacentral:rRNA from 1 species